AGUCUGACGGAGCAACGCCGCGUGAGUGAUGAAGGUUUUCGGAUCGUAAAGCUCUGUUGUUAGGGAAGAACAAGUGCCGUUCAAAUAGGGCGGCACCUUGACGGUACCUAACCAGAAAGCCACGGCUAACUACGUGCCAGCAGCCGCGGUAAUACGUAGGUGGCAAGCGUUGUCCGGAAUUAUUGGGCGUAAAGGGCUCGCAGGCGGUUUCUUAAGUCUGAUGUGAAAGCCCCCGGCUCAACCGGGGAGGGUCAUUGGAAACUGGGGAACUUGAGUGCAGAAGAGGAGAGUGGAAUUCCACGUGUAGCGGUGAAAUGCGUAGAGAUGUGGAGGAACACCAGUGGCGAAGGCGACUCUCUGGUCUGUAACUGACGCUGAGGAGCGAAAGCGUGGGGAGCGAACAGGAUUAGAUACCCUGGUAGUCCACGCCGUAAACGAUGAGUGCUAAGUGUUAGGGGGUUUCCGCCCCUUAGUGCUGCAGCUAACGCAUUAAGCACUCCGCCUGGGGAGUACGGUCGCAAGACUGAAACUCAAAGGAAUUGACGGGGGCCCGCACAAGCGGUGGAGCAUGUGGUUUAAUUCGAAGCAACGCGAAGAACCUUACCAGGUCUUGACAUCCUCUGACANCCCUAGAGAUAGGGCUUCCCCUUCGGGGGCAGAGUGACAGGUGGUGCAUGGUUGUCGUCAGCUCGUGUCGUGAGAUGUUGGGUUAAGUCCCGCAACGAGCGCAACCCUUGAUCUUAGUUGCCAGCAUUCAGUUGGGCACUCUAAGGUGACUGCCGGUGACAAACCGGAGGAAGGUGGGGAUGACGUCAAAUCAUCAUGCCCCUUAUGACCUGGGCUACACACGUGCUACAAUGUACAGAACAAAAGGUCAGCGAGACCGCGAGGUUAAGCCAAUCCCACAAAUCUGUUCUCAUUCGGUCGCGUCUGCAACUCGACUGCGUGG
rnacentral:rRNA from 1 species